rnacentral:rRNA from 1 species
AGUGAACGCUGGCGGUAGGCCUAACACAUGCAAGUCGAACGGCAGCACAGUAAGAGCUUGCUCUUACGGGUGGCGAGUGUCGGACGGGUGAGGAAUACAUCGGAAUCUACUUUUUCGUGGGGGAUAACGUAGGGAAACUUACGCUAAUACCGCAUACGACCUACGGGUGAAAGCAGGGGAUCUUCGGACCUUGCGCGAUUGAAUGAGCCGAUGUCGGAUUAGCUAGUUGGCGGGGUAAAGGCCCACCAAGGCGACGCUCCGUAGCUGGUAUGAGAGGAUGAUCAGCCACACUGGAACUGAGACACGGUCCAGACUCCUACGGGAGGCAGCAGUGGGGAAUAUUGGACAAGGGGCGCAAGCCUGAUCCAGCCAUACCGCGUGGGGGAAGAAGGACUUCGGGUUGUAAAGCCAUGUUGUUGGGAAAGAAGAGCAGCAGGUUAAUACCCCGCUGUUCUGACGGUACCCAAAGAAUAAGCACCGGCUAACUUCGUG